GAGUAGUAAUAGGAUGGGUGACCUCCUGGGAAGUCCUCGUGUUGCACCCCU
rnacentral:rRNA from 1 species